rnacentral:rRNA from 1 species
UACAGAGGUGGCAAGCGUUGUUCGGAAUUACUGGGCGUAAAGGGCGCGUAGGCGGCCUUCUAAGUCAGACGUGAAAUCCCCGGCUUAACCUGGGACUGCGUCUGAUACUGGGAGGCUUGAGUAUGGGAGAGGGAUGUAGAAUUCCAGGUGUAGCGGUGAAUGCGUAGAUAUCUGGAGGAAUACCGGUGGCGAAGGCGGCAUCCUGGACCAUAACUGACGCUGAGGCGCGAGGCCAGGGGAGCAA